AUGGUAGCUGUUAAACAAGUUGCUUCUUGAUUCUCAAUUGGCAACUGCCGUUGCACUUUGAGGAUUGGCGCAGGGCACAUUUUCAUUCCUUGGCAAAACUCCCUUCCCCACCCUUUCCCCAUCCUUGUGUACAAAGGAAAUGCAAAUACAUGUAAAUAUUAGCCUAAGCCGCAGGCUUCUUGGAAGGUAAGGCUGUUGCCCCUGCUGCUGCUGCUGCUUUAAAAAAAAAAAUCCUAUAAUGCGAGUGAAAGGACAGAUUUUCUGAGCCACUGCUCCUGCACCAGGGUGAGGCCUCUGAGAGAAGAAACGGUGAAGCCAUGGUUCUCUGAAGACAGGGCCUUGUGCGCAGCGUGCCUGGAAUGAGAGGAGCGACGGGGCCUGGCAAGCAGCCUGGGUCUGGCCUCCCUGGGUCUCCAGGGCCUGGUACGAUGACUGGCACACAGGUGUUGUCAUGUCUGGAGGGGAGAGCUCGCAUUACUGAAGCCAUCUUGCCAUCAGUUUGAGAUGGAGCAGAUGCCCGAGGAUGGCCGAGCAGAAAGAUGAAGUUCGAGAGUGCCUUGCCCGAGAGACGUGUCAAAUGAAUGAAGCGGAGUCUGGUUGCCUCAGCAGAGAAGAGCAAUUACUCAAUAAGCAAGUCAGCCUCUAGUGACACCUCCAUUAUAAAAAGUACUUCUAAAAAAUUAUCACUGUGUCUGUUGUGUGGAAAACAGACUGAGGAGGCUGGAAGGAUCAAGGCCAGAACCAAGAAGACUACUUAGGAAACUACAGCAAGAAUCCAGGUCUUAGGAGGAAAUAUCUAAGAAGAGGUGAUUCAUUACUGUCUGAAAAACGCUUUGAGAUCCUCUGAGGGAGGGUAAUUAGAAGUAUGAGACAUGGUUCCUGGAUGUGUGAUUACAUGUGAUUAUAUGUUAAGAGUGGUGCUAGAAUACUUCAAAUGCGUUCCUCUCCUGUAUCACCAAACAGGCCAGUGCGUGCUGGGAGGGGAGGAGAGAAAGGCUAGAAAUAAGAGGAGCUAUUGGAACAAAGACUAAUAAUUCCUCUGAAGCAGGAGGAAGACAGCCGGGGCCCUGGGGUAUUUGCAGAAUAUGCACUGAGAGUGGGACCAGGGCCUCCUGUCUUCCCCAGGGGAGUUUGCCUCCCCACACGCCUACAGUCCCAACUCUGUUGACUUUUAGGGUGGUCUCUUUGUUCAAGUUUUACCAAAGGAGUAAAUGACUACUCUAUCGUCACAGGGGAAACCACCUUCCGUUUUCAAAGAGAACUGGAGGCUUGUUUUCUGGGUCAUUGUUAUGUGGGUAUUAAUCAUGGAGCAUUAAAAUCUUUAUUAUUCUUUGCACUUAUGGAGCUGGUUUUCUUAGAAAGCCCCACAUUCUUUUUCCCGACCAAGUCUUAUUUUGAGAGGAGCGUGCUCUAACAUAAUAUCCAGUAUAUAGCUAGAGUGAGGCCGCCACUCAGACUGUCAGCAGUCUUUGACCUCAGGGGUCCAGAAGCAGUCGUGUAUGUUGGUUAGAUCUCAGAUCUGGAGCCGGCUUGAAUUCUGGAUCUGUUGCUCCUACUUGCAGGACUUGAGGCAAGUUAUCCAACCCCUCAGAGUCGUAGUUUCUUCAUUUGUGAAGUUGGAUAGCAAUGGUAUCUACAUCUUUGAGUUAUUGAGAACAUUUGAAGAGGAAUUGUGUCUCAUACUUGUAAUAGGGUCUUGUAGGUUGGAAGCGCCAAAUAUGUGUUUGCUACUGGUGCUGCUACGACCUAUGGGAAACUGCGGGCUCAUUUAGAGCAAAUUAUUAUGACUAUAAUUGCCAUCGUUAUUAAAGUACUUCUAAAGAAACUAAGGUUGAUUUAAAGCUAAAUGGUCAAGUGGCUAAAAUUAUGUUUGGCACUCUUCUCCUAUUCUUAGUCUCUCCUUUUUAUUCUUCCAAAUUUGUGACACAUGACCAUGGCUUGAGGUUUUUGUGAUGUGUUAAACAUAUCCGCCACGAACGUAAGCGACUUAAGGUACAGAUACCUACAAGGAUGGAUUCACACUUUCAAGGACACUGAACAUUUGAUGUUUUUCUGAAAAUCAAAUUAAUAAACCCCAUAGACCUCUAGAACUCUGAAGCUGGGACCAUCUAGCUCAAACCCAGAGUAGGCAAGUGACUCACCCUUGGAGACAGGUGUAGCUGGCUAAUGGGAGAAUGAGAUUAAGUCUUGGGUUGAGUUAGACAAGUAAGAACCAUGAUCAUGUGAAACAGGGUAUGACUCCUUGUAAAGCUGCUUCUACGGAGAUACACUGUAGCAAUAUGCCAUUCGUCUCCGAAAAAGGAUGCUGUAAGAUUGCCUACAAAACGGUAUUUUAUGUACGAAAGGAGCGGAAGCUGAGUAUGUCAACCUGAUCCUCUUUACGCAGACACCUGAGUGGCUGUAGCUUUCAGUUCUAAGUACCGAGAAUAGCUGGCACUUCUGGAACAACUGUGUUUUCAUUUGAUGAACGUCAUGAACUUCUUAUGUGAUCUGUGAUCAUGGGAUUAAUGCAUUUGCUUCAGCUACUAGAAUGCUCAAGGCCAUAUUUACAUGCUACCUCUGUGACUGAAAGCCAAUAGUCUCUACAAAUUACAGAUGUUCGCUACAGCUGAAAACGUCACAGCCACUUUUCCAGAGCUGUGUUCUACUGAACACUAGUAUCGUAUGACGCAAUGGACAUUUCUUGCGGAGGGGAGGAGUUUUGGGGUCCUUGACACUGCAUCCUGUACCUCCUUCUUGGAUAGUAUUGAUGUUUAUAUUGGUAUCUUAAAUGUUCUGAGGAGUCUGAUCAUUUAAAAUCAAAAUAAACAAAAAAAAACCCUUCCGAACUUUCUUUAGCACUGUCCUUAUAAAACUUGUUUGACCACAAAAUCUUAUAAAAAUAUUAUCUCAAACGUCUAGUUUUAUAUGAAACCUGUUUGGGAAAUACUAUCUUUCAGUAACAAGUAAUCAAAUCCUGUUUAUUGGAGUUAUGUCAGUACAAAGAUUGGUUCUUGACAGUGUGAAACGUGACUCUUCCUAGUUCUGUGUACCAGGGAGAGAGUCCAGGUGUGGACGUUAGACCAGUCAACUGAUGAGGUCCCUUUGAGCUCAAACAUUUGGUGAUUCCUGAUUUAAAAAAUGAAGAAAGGUUUUUCAAGAGUGUCUGCUCAUAGAAUUACGAAUUUAAGUUUACUAACAUGAAGGCUAAAGUUAGAAAUUAAAACAUUGUGUAACAUUUCUGGCAUUCUUUAUUUAUAUCUAAUCUAAAAGAUGGCUUUAAAAAUCAUGUUUUUAAAAACAGCUCCCCCCCGCAGGAAUGUAAAACAAAGAUAAAAAUUUCCUUUGAAAAGCAUCAAAGUUAAAAGUUAUAAAAUUUUCAUCUGAACUCCUGUUCGGUUGUAGACUUUACCCCUCCCCCUUCCUGCUUUGAUAAAGGCUUACAUAAUGGGGUGAUGCAACUCCAUGGUGUAUCUCGAGGGGGUUGUGCAGCUAGGUUUCUUCUCAAGCACACGGUGCAUGUAGAGCCUGCAAUGUUCAUUUCACAGGCACCUUUGCCUUUGAGAUCUCUUCCCCUCCACUCUCCAUUAAAACUCAACAAACAAAAAACAACAGCAAGGACCUCAAACCCCAGCCACAGGUGAAUUACUUGGGUGGGAGCCUGGGACUUGGCUCAGACAACACACUCAGCCUCUGGAGUUGCUCCAUUCCUCUGACCCGUGAGCUAGACCCAAGGGGAAAUUUCGCAAGGCAAAAUCACCUUCAACGAGAAGGGACAGGCUCUCCUGCUCAGGUCCUUGGUUGACAUCCAGUUCCUUCAGCGGCCUACCUGACGUGUCACCAUACCUCCAGCGGCUUUCAUUGCCUUUCCCUUUGUGCAUGACUGUGGAAGGUGUGCAGUUAUUUCUCUGGCCCACUUGUCUCUCUGAUUGUAUUUCUGUGUUUUUGUCUGUGUUCAGCUGUGCCUGCUAGGUGUCAGGUAUGAUGUCACAAAAAUGCAUACGCCCCUGUCCUUGCCCUUGAGAUCACAGCGUAGAUGAGCAGAUGGGCACUGCAAACCAUUUCUAUUCAGUGUGACAGAGACUCCACAAGAGCCAUGUAUGAUGACCAGGGAGGCAGUAAUGGAGGUGGCAUUUGAGUCAAGUCCUAGAGAGUGUGUUGAACACUGAUUUUUCCAUUAAUAGAAUUACUUUUUCUGCUUAAUGGCAACCAGCCUGCUAGAUGGGGAGGUAUAAACUAAUAACUUGUUUUGGAUUAAAUCAGGAGACUAACUGACAGAACCUAUUAGCUAAAGGUUAGACUCUUAUUUCAAGCAAUUCAGUGAAUGUUCAGGCCUUCAUCAUUUCAGUUAUUAGAGGACGAGACCAUCUAGAAAGUGGACUCUCUAGAACUUACUCUCAAGUUUCCCUGAUGUAAAAAUAUUCUAGGGACAGACUUUGAUUUUGGAAAUUCCUAGAAUUAGCUUUGCUUUGUGUUCAAUAAUGCCUAGUUUCCCAGUCUCAUGGCAGACAGAAAAUA